rnacentral:rRNA from 1 species
UGGGUAACCUGCCUCAAAGAGGGGAAUAGCCUCCCGAAAGGGAGAUUAAUACCGCAUAAUAUGUUUAAGUCGCAUGACUUUAACAUCAAAGGAUUUUCUUUUAGAAAUUCCACUUUGAGAUGGACCCGCGGCGCAUUAGCUAGUUGGUGAGGUAACGGCUCACCAAGGCAACGAUGCGUAGCCGACCUGAGAGGGUGAUCGGCCACAUUGGAACUGAGACACGGUCCAGCUCCGUAGGAG